rnacentral:rRNA from 1 species
GACGAACGCUGGCGGCGUGCUUAACACAUGCAAGUCGAACGAUGAAGCAAAGAAUUGAAGCUUCGGCAGAAAUUCAUUUCGGAUUAGUGGCAGACGGGUGAGUAACGCGUGAGCAACCUACCUCUUACAAAGGGAUAGCCUCGGGAAACCGGGAUUAAUACCAUAUAACAUUGCAACGAUGCAUUUCGUUGCAAUCAACGCUACGGCGGUAAGAGUUGGGCUCGCGUCCCAUUAACCAGAUGGUGAGGUAACGGCUCAACAUAGUAACGAUGGGUAACCGGACUGAGAGGGUGAACGGUCACACUGGAAAUGAGACACGGUCCAGACUCCUACGGGAGGAAGCAGUGGGGAAUAUUGCACAAUGGAGGGAACUCAGAUGCAGCGACGCCGCGUGAGUGAUGAAGGAAUUCGUAUCGUAAAACUCUGUUCUAUGGGAAGAAAAUGACUGUACCAUAGGAGAAAGCUCCGGCUAAAUACGUG